rnacentral:rRNA from 1 species
UACGUAGGGCGCAAGCGUUGUCCGGAAUUAUUGGGCGUAAAGAGCUCGUAGGUGGCUUGUCGCGUCGGGUGUGAAAGCUUGGGGCUUAACUCCAGGUCUGCAUUCGAUACGGGCUGGCUAGAGGUAGGUAGGGGAGAACGGAAUUCCUGGUGUAGCGGUGAAAUGCGCAGAUAUCAGGAGGAACACCGGUGGCGAAGGCGGUUCUCUGGGCAUGUCCUGACGCUGAGGAGCGAAAGUGUGGGGAGCGAACGGG